CCUACGGGGGGCAGCAGUGGGGAAUAUUGGGCAAUGGGCGCAAGCCUGACCCAGCAACGCCGCGUGAAGGAAGAAGGCUUUCGGGUUGUAAACUUCUUUUCUCAGGGACGAAGAAAGUGACGGUACCUGAGGAAUAAGCCACGGCUAACUACGUGCCAGCAGCCGCGGGAAUACGUAGGUGGCAAGCGUUAUCCGGAUUUACUGGGUGUAAAGGGAGCGGAGACGGCAGCGCAAGUCUGGAGUGAAAUCCCAUGGCUUAACAAUGGAACUGCUUUGGAAACUGGGCAGCUGGAGUGCAGGAGAGGUAAGCGGAAUGCCUGGUGUAGCGGGUAAAUGCGUAGAUAUUAGGAGGAACACCAGUGGCGAAGGCGGCUUACUGGACUGUAACUGACGUUGAGGCACGAAAGCGUGGGGAGCAAACAGGAUUAGAUACCCGAGUAGUC
rnacentral:rRNA from 1 species